rnacentral:lncRNA from 1 species
CGCAAAUAGAAAGAGAAUAGCUCACAGCCAAGAAAUUUCAUAGAAUGACGAAGAGUACUCUGUUCCGGUUGAUUUGAACACUUCUUAUGAGAGAAAGAGGGUCUAAAACGAAGGGGGAGCCAGCAGUAGAAAGAUCGUACCUUAGCUUCCUUGAUUGACAGACUGGCUACCAACCGUGCUAGCAAAAUGUUCUAUUUAUCCAUAGAAAUAGAUUCGAGACGAUCGAUCUUUUGGCUUGGCUUUAAACUCAGAGGAGAAAAAAAUUAUAGACACUAAUCUAAUUA